ACCCAGACUCCUACGGGAGGCAGCAGUGAGGAAUAUUGGUCAAUGGGCGCGAGCCUGAACCAGCCAAGUCGCGUGAGGGAUGACGGCCCUACGGGUUGUAAACCUCUUUUGUCGGGGAGCAAAUUCCGCCACGUGUGGCGGAGUCGAGAGUACCCGAAGAAAAAGCAUCGGCUAACUCCGUGCCAGCAGCCGCGGUAAUACGGAGGAUGCGAGCGUUAUCCGGAUUUAUUGGGUUUAAAGGGUGCGUAGGCGGGAUGCCAAGUCAGCGGUAAAAAUGCGGUGCUCAACGCCGUCGAGCCGUUGAAACUGGCGUUCUUGAGUGGGCGAGAAGUAUGCGGAAUGCGUGGUGUAGCGGUGAAAUGCAUAGAUAUCACGCAGAACUCCGAUUGCGAAGGCAGCAUACCGGCGCCCUACUGACGCUGAGGCACGAAAGCGUGGGUAUCGAACAGGAUUAGAUACCCGAGUA
rnacentral:rRNA from 1 species